ensembl:snRNA U6 U6 spliceosomal RNA
GUGAUUACCAUGGCAGCACAUACACUAAAAUUAGAAAAACAGAGGGAAAAUUAGCAUGGUCUCUAAGCAAGAGUGACAUGCAAAUUUGUGAAGCAUUUAAUUUUUUU